GCUGGCUGUGACUGGAUUCUGGUCACUAGAAUCACAGCGAGGAAGGCUGAAGCCUGUGACGGGGAAGUGUCUAGGAAAUCAUUGCCCGUAAUCCUCCCUGGGCUAUUUUUUUUUACAUGGUGGUUUUUCCUAGUUCAUUGACAGUGAUGACCGGUUCCCUACAGAGCUGGCCACCUUGCUGAGUGCACUGGAUGGCACACAGUGACAACAAAUGACACAGAAGCCUCUCUUCUCGAGGACUCGAGGAGUUAAAUAUCUGAUGGAGAAGAGAAGACAGGACCCAGGCACAAGCAGCGCAAUCUGUAUGAACAAAUACAAGAAUCACAUACUCCACAGUCCCAUGAGCCACGGGGAUAGAUAGCAAAGGGUUCCCCAGCAGCCCUGGCAGGCAGGUAGACAGCCACAGCUAUGCGGGCCCUUAGGUCAGCCCUCUCAGAUGAUCUGAAACCACUUCAGUCUGUCUGAAGCUCUCAUGAACAUUUCCUGUUAAGUAUUGUUUUCAAUAAUUUAUUCUGGAGGAGAUGUUGGCUCCCCUGGGAAUCACUUUGCAGCACAUCCCCUCCAGAGACCAGCUACAGACAUCAGGCGCCAGGAUAGAAGAGUCGCUCUGUGUAGACGGUGGACCAGGAAUAAGGUUGCCUCAAAAAAAUAAUAGCUGACAUCCGCCCCACCCUCCACUCUUCAAUCAAGCCAGUCAGGCAAUGAACCUUUUCACACCUGAGGGAUUAUUUUUGCUUUUGUCUGAUUCUGCUGUGUUAAAGGAAACAAGUGUUGAGAAAGCUCUGUCAUCUUCAUGAGCAUGAAGUCUUUGGACUCAAAGCACAGGACCCCGUCCCUUGGUGAGGCCUGCAGCCACAGAGAGGACUGAUGGAUGACAUUUGCAAGAAUGCCAUUCUGUGCAAAGCUACCAGACGGUUUGGCUAAAGAUGGAGGCAGGAGAAGAAAAAUUUCUCAGGUGAAGUUCUCUGGGUAAAAUGGUUUUCUCAGGCCCAGGUGUUGUGAGCAGGCACCCCAAAAUCUGGCCAUAAACUGGCCCCAAAACUGGCCAUAAAUAGAAUCUCUGCAGCACUAUGACAUGUUCCUGAUGGCCAUAAUGCCCACGCUGGAAGAUUGUGGGUUUAAGGGAAUGAGGGCAAGGAAUACCUGGCCUGCUCAGGGCGGAAAACCGCUUAAAGGCAUUCUUAAGCCACAAACAAUAGCAUGAGUGAUCUGUGUCUUAAGGACAUACUCCUGCUGCAGUUAAUUAGCCCAACUUAUUCCUUUAAUUUGGCCCAACCCUUCAUUUCCCAUAAGGGAUAUUUUUAGUUAAUUUAAUGUCUAUAGAAACAGUGCUAAUUACUGGCUUGCUGUUAAUAAAUACGUGGGUAAAUCUCUGUUUGGGGCUCUCAGCUCUGAAGGCUGUGAGACCCCUGAUUUCCCACUUCACACCUCUAUAUUUCUGUGUGUGUGUGUCUUUAAUUCCUCUAGUGCUGCUGGGUUAGGGUCUCCCCAACUGAGCUGGUCUCAGCAAGUGGCGUCCAUUCGUGGGAGCUUGAAUCCAGGUCGAAGGGUCACCGGAGCAAUGGUUGGAAUGGAAAACUAGCUGGAGGACACCCGAGUACUCUAAAAGCAAUCCCCAUGGCCAAAAUCAACAGCCAAUUUGGAUACCAUCAAGACACCUGAAACCUUAUCAUGAGCCAGAUGCCAAGGAAGAGAUUCGGGAGGAUCCUGAGGACCCCCCGGUUGCAGCCAUGUUGAGACUGAUGCUGAGGAGGACCCCAACUGUCACGAGCAACACCCGUCGACCACAGCCACCCACCUGGGGACAGAUCAAGAAGCUGUCACAGAUGGCGGAGGAAAGCGGAACAACCAGUCACAAUGAAUAAUUUAAUGGUAGCUAUGAUAGUGGUUAUCACCACUGCCGUGAGUAUUCCUACAAUAAGGGCUGGUAAUAACGCCUGGAUGCAAUCACUCUAUGACACAGUUACAUAUGCUUUCUGAUCUCAGUAUUUACCAUAAUAAAUCUGCUCCUAUAAUUGAGGCAUACCACCCUUAAAAACCUAUUUGUAAACAGGAUUGGACCCAGUUAGAAAAAAUGAACACAAUUGUUUAGGAAGAUUGCCUUGCAGAACAGGCAGAGAUGCUGCACAACGAUUCCUAUGGAAUCAUUAUUAAUUGGUCCCCUAAGGGGAUGUUUAGCUUGAAUUGCACCUCUCAGUCUGCGUGCCACAGUCACACUAUGUUUAGAUGAUCUGAACAAAACAGUCAGAUGGUAGAAAUGUUAAGAAGUACGGCAAAAGUUCCUAUUAUGUGGAACCAUGGCGGUAUAGUGGCACCUCAACCUCAAAUGAUAUGGCCUGCUCUAGGAGCUAAACAUAAGGAUUUGCGGAAACUAUUAAAUGCUCUUAAUAAGAUCAAAAUUUGGGAAAGAAUAAAAAAGCAUCUAGAAGGACACUCUACAAAAUUGUUUUUGGAUAUAGCAAAAUUAAAAGAACAAAUAUUUAAAGCAUCCCAGGCACACCUGACCUUAAUGCCAGGAACUGAAGUGCUUAAAGGAGCUGCAGACAAAUUAGCAGCUAGUAACCCAUUAAAAUGGAUAAAAACACUUGGAAGCUCUGUGAUUUCAAUGAUGACUGUGCUUUUAAUCUAUGUUGUUUGUCUUUGUAUAGUCUGCAGAUAUGGAUCCUGACUCCUGCAAGAAAUAGCUCACCGUGACAAAGCUGCCCUUGCUUUUAUCGAUUUGCAAAUCAAAGAAGGGGGACAUGUUGGGAGCAGGCCCCCCCCCCCAAAAUCUGGCCAUAAUCUCUGCAGCACUAUGACAUGUUCAUGACGGCCAUAAUGCCCACACUGGAAGAUUGUGGGUUUAUGGGAAUGAGGGCAAGGAACACCUGGCCCACCCAGGGCGGAAAACUGCUUAAAGGCAUUCUUAAGCCACAAACAAUAGCAUGAACGAUCUGUGCCUUAAGGACAUACUCCUGCUGCAGUUAACUAGCCCAACCUAUUCCUUUAAUUCAGCCCAUCCCUUCUUUUCCCAUAAGGGAUACUUCUAGUUAAUUUAAUAUCUAUAGAAACAAUGCUAAUGACUGGCUUGCUGUUAAUAAAUACGUGGGUAAAUCUCUGUUUGGGGCUCUCAGCUCUGAAGGCUGUGAGACCCCUGAUUUCCCACUUCACACCUCUAUAUUUCUGUGUGUGUCUUUAAUUCCUCU
rnacentral:lncRNA from 10 species